rnacentral:tRNA from 1 species
GGCGGAUGUAGCCAAGUGGAUCAAGGCAGUGGAUUGUGAAUCCACCAUGCGCGACUGGCCG